rnacentral:rRNA from 1 species
GAGACUCUAAUGAGACUGCCAGUGAUAAACUGGAGGAAGGUGGGGAUGACGUCAAAUCAUCAUGCCCCUUAUGACCUGGGCUACACACGUGCUACAAUGGCCGGUACAAAGAGUUGCGAAACUGUGAAGUUAAGCUAAUCUCAUAAAGCCGGUCUCAGUUCGGAUUGUAGUCUGCAACUCGACUACAUGAAGUCGGAAUCGCUAGUAAUCGCGAAUCAGAAUGUCGCGGUGAAUACGUUCUCGAGUCUU